GGAGUUGGCCAGACAGUCGCUGUCGGCGCUUCACCGCGCCGAUAGAGGAAAGUCCGGGCUCCACAGGGUAGGGUGACGGCUAACGACCGUCCGCCGCGAGGCGAGGAACAGGGCCACAGAGAAUGAACCGCCGAUGGCCGCAAGGCACAGGCAAGGGUGCAAAGGUGCGGUAAGAGCGCACCGCGUUCACGGUAACGCGAACGGCAUGGCAACCUCCACCCGGAGCAACACCAAAUAGGCAAGCGACGACGUGACCCACCGAGCUUGCGGGUAGGUGGCUAGAGCGCGCGGGCAACCGCGCGUCGAGAGGAAUGACUGUCACGGGAGCAUAAGCUUCCGACAGAACCCGGCUUAUCGGCCGACUCCCAUU
rnacentral:RNase_P_RNA from 1 species